UUUUAUCACUAACAGUUUCACAAAACUGCUCGUCCGAGAAAUGAAUAUUUUUUUUAUUCAAAAUUAUUAGUGAUAUAUUUUGUAUAUAUACAUUUUGAUAUAUUAAAAUACACCUAUACUUGUUGCUACUUAUUGCUGAGAAGUGCAUAUUACUGAUAUGUCUCUUAAAGGCCGAUUAAUAAUUGAAAUUUUGGCCAAUAAUGGGGAGCCGAUGAAGAAAAGGGAUCUGCUACGUAAAGUAGCAGCGAUGGCUGAGACGACCCAGAAGAAUUGUGAGGCACUUGUUAUGAAUGUGAUUAAUGCAGGGAUUCGCCAUGGAUAUGUUCAGGCCAUAAGUUCUGACUCCUUCCUAUAUAUACCUGGCAAAGACUUAAUGCGUCUGUGCGAUCCCAGCGUCAGUGACAUGAGUAUAAAGAAAGAAACUAUAAAUAUUCCCACACUUGGUUGUUCUUCGGAAAAUAAUUUACAACUUGACGCUAAUAAGACUGUAAGCCUUACGUCGUUGUGGUCAAACAUUCCAUCCCAGAAAACUGAUCUUGGGCCUGUAAUUGCAAAAAGAAAAUCAGUCGCUCGAUCACGCAAGCCCAAACGAAGAGUACAUAAAUACCGGGCAAGAAAAAUGCGCGAGCGCGCAAAGCUACGCGCCAAAAGAAGAAAGCGAUUACAGAGAAAGCCGAAGGCAAGAAAUGCGAUCAAACGACGUAAGCCUGGUGCCAAUGUAAAAAAAAAUAUGAAGAAGUCCCCACCAAAGAAAGCAAAUAAACGUCAGGUUCCAAAGAAGCGUGCGAAGAAACGUCCAAAGAAGCGUAAUGUUGGAUUUAAGAAGCGAAGGAAUAUGUUCCGCAGCAGGCGUGCAGCUCGUGCCCGUAUGCAAAAACGUUUGCGUAAAAAUAAAAAGCAACGUAAACGCCAAUAAUUUGGUGUUAAUAGGUUGCUUCCAACGGUAUUACCACCAUUACCAACAAUCACAGGGAAGCAACUAGAAGCAAAUAAAAGUUUGCUGGUGAAGUCACGUGAGAAAAUAUAAGAACGGCACAUGUCAUGAAAAUCAAGGAUCCGUAGGAUAGCCAAUUCACUCACAAUAAAAUGCGUUAAAGUAUAAGAGAUAAAUUGUCAUGACGAAUCCUUAAAUUUUAUUACUGAGUAUUAAUAAUAAAAUAUGGACCCAAUGCUGAAUUGACUUGAACUUCGGAUUCUCAUUUUCAUCACGACAUUUUACUUCAAUGUUAAACUUCUUCACAUAAACCGCGUGCCCCCAAUACCUUAGAAACAACUACAAUUAUUUUAGUGAUUUCUUCUGGGAUCCAAACAUGGUUGGUUAUAUUGACAUAUACAUUUAUCAAGUGUGGGAAUGAAUUCACAAGCUUCUGUUUCUAUCUAGUUGAAUGCUUUACAACGAAAAUUCAUAUUCUCUUAACGCUAAUCUGGUGAAGGGCAACUGAAUUUUCUUGGAUGAAGGCUAUCUAUGUGGUCUCUUUACAAUUACCAUUUGGUCCCUCUUCUUGAUGCAAAUCUGUUGAAAUGAAAAUGAAUUUUCUUCUAGUUUUUUUUGUUGUAAUGUAUUGAUUCAAUAAUUAUAUAUGUGGAUUUUGGACCAAAAGGAACCCUAAAUACACAAUAAUCCCUUUUUUCCGGACUCGAAACUUGGAUAAUCUUAUUAAUCUGUGAAUAUAUCAAUUGUGAGAAUGCAUCAAUUUACUAACACCUAAUAUUCUAUGUGAUGUCUUUGCUCUUUGGAUUAAGGUUAUGUAUGUGACCUUUUUGCGAUUAGAAUUUUUUUCCUAAAGGCGCAAAUCUAUUAGAAGCAAGACGUAUAUCCUGGAAUGUUAGAGCUCAUUAAUUUUUUACGAGAAUUUUGAUUUUGAAAUUCUUUUGGACUCCAAAUACGUGUAGUCUCAUUUUCUUGUAAAUCUAUUGAGUAUGGAUAUAUGUUUAUCUGCAAGCUGGUAUUUAUCUCGAUGAUCUCAUUUGUGCCCUAAUCUUGAUGCAACUUUAUUGAAAAGAAAAUGAAAUUUCUUAGAUAAAUUUUGGAUUGUCGUACUCUGGUAAUAACUUAUGUGAGCAUGGUUCUAAUUAGAAAUCAUGAAAAAGAGAUAACAUACGUUUGCAGAUCAAAUUUUUGUGUUUAAAAUAACACAACAAUUCUAUGUAUUCCAAGUUUUUUAUAGAUUGCGAUAUCUAUUACACCCAAUUAUUGGCUCGACCUUUCAAAAUCAUUUCUCGGAGGCUUUGCAGCAAAUUAUGUGAAAAAUGAGAUCAUUUAUUGUAUAAAUCAAAAUUUGUUAAGAUGGAUACGCUUUCUUACAAAUUUUAAGUUUGUCGAAUAAUUCUAUAAACUACUAAAUUGUUAUUAAGUAGUAAUUUAUUAGUUUUAAUUUUUAAAUUGAUUAACGUAUGUUUAUUUGUAUGUAGCUCUUAUGUCACUUA